ensembl:lncRNA
UAUUAAUCAAGCAUCAUCAGUUCCCAACAUGGUUCAAGUGUUGUGUAAUACAGUAGACUGAACCGAGUGGGCCACCAUAUUAGUUUCCUGUUCCAGCGAUCCCCUAAAAUAGCUCUACUGCGAUUGCUCUGGCACACAGGCGCCAUAUUGAGCCUUGAAAACCUCCAUGCAUGAUCUACCAAAAAACAGCCUGGAUUUAUCCUCCAUCCACCAUGGAAUGACAUGGCCUUGGCUGGGAUUGUGAGUCAGGCUUUCUUUAGAAUGAUAGUCUAGAAUAGUUCCAAAUGCAACAUUUUAACUGCAUUCAAAUUGCAGCUGAAGAGCCAUACAAAACCUUUUAAGUCCUACAAGUAUUAAGAGUAUUCUACCUAAAUGAGAACAUGGCUAAUCUAUGGCAGGUUAUAGUUGUGGCAUUAAUGUACUUUUGCACAUUGCUGAAAAGAAGUUUAGAACAGAUACAGAGAUGUUUGUGCUUUAAAAAUAGUUUAAAUUGGGUUCAGUUCAGACAGGCAGAUUCUGAUGCUGUAGAAGAGAAGUCUGAUAACCUACAGGCAGACAUCUGGAGAACAAAUCAAGAGUACAGGACCUAUCGGCACCAGAGUAAUGGACAAAUGAUAAUGGUGCAAACCAGCACACAUACUUUCCAUGUGAGUAUCUACAAAUAAACCACAGACUGUGUAACAACCUUGGCCCACAAACACAUGAUGUCAUGCUUAUUGGCACUUACUUCCAGGUGGAUCUGGAGAAGCUUGCAGACUGCAGCGAGUAUUUCAAGGCUCUGUCCCACUCCUGCAUGAGAGAGACAUCUGAACAGCUGGUACACCUUGAACAUGUUCCUACAGCGGUUCUGCAUUUCUGGAGACCUCCUUGGGGAACACCUACGGGUGAGCACUUACCUGCUUGCUUACGGGUUCACCAAUCAUCUACUGAUUGCCCUCUCUCAGGCCCUAACAGAGCACACCUGCUUAGGCUAUCUACAGCUGGCUGAGGAACUCUGCAGUGAGGAGCUCCAAGAGACUGUGCUAACCUACCUGAGCAAGUAUCUACUGGAGCGUCCACACCUGAGCCAGGGCUUGGAUCCACACCUUAAAGCAAAGCUUCUCAGAUUAAGGUCAAAGGGUACUUCACACUUAUGCUGCUUGAGAAAGGAGAACUUGACCUCAAGGAAUGACCUGGAAACAGAUGCUGCUCGAAAGCUCUUCAGGCUGGAGGAAGACAAGGAUUAUGGGAAAUGGAGUUCUCUCACAGAUCUGCCUUUUUGUGCAGAUAAGUGGUGCUUCACCACAGCGGUUCUCUAUAAUUACCUCUAUCUCAUAGGGGGUUAUAGACACCGUGUAAAGAAGGGCUAUGAGUUCAAGAUGGCUUCCUUCCGCUACAACCCUUUUACCAAUCAAUGGGUAUCAACAGCUCCUCUGAUUAAGCACAGGCGUCACUUCAGUGCAGCUGUGUGUGAGGGGAGAAUCUUUGCUGUAGGCGGCUGGUAUCUGGAUUCCCUUGUGACUCCUGACUCCGGCACAGGCGUCUACACUGCUGUGGAGAAGUAUGAUCCGUGGAAAGACACCUGGGAAUUUGUUUCCUCUCUCCCUCUGACAGACUUCCAGUUCAGCCUGUCCCUGUCCCAUGAUUCCCCACUUACAACCAGCCUGGGACACUGCCUCUAUGUACUGGGGAACAUCCAGAGAACUGGAGAGAAACUGGUGUUGCACUACGAUACUAGACAAGAUUGCUGGUGUGAGCUGCUCCCCACACUAACCCGCUCCAGAGCAGACCUCCCCAUCUUGAACUUCCUGGGUGCUGCUAAUAAUCAGUUGGUUGUAAUUGGAGGGAACAAUUCUGAAACCAUGGUGACAUCUUUCUGUGUGGACUCUCAGAAGUGGGGCCAUAUCAGAGCAAUGGAGAAGACCACUUUAAUUGGCCAGGGCACCAUUCUGCAUAAUGAGGUCUACAUGUCAGGGAUGAAGGACAAUUCUGUAGUUAAACUGAACCUGCAUUCACUGUCCCUCUGUCCUCUUCCUUCCCUUCCUGUCACCACCUGCUACGAGAGCGUUUUCCACCUCUACUUCUGACCUUCUUUUUCUUCUUGUUUAAUUGCAACAAAAUGUAACAAAAUAUUUCAUAAAUAAAUGUAUCAACUUGUGUAAAGUAAAGCAUUUUGUGAGAACCUCU